GUGUUUGCAGGUGAAUCUACUCCAGGGCAGCUGUUGGUGUACGUGUUUUGUUUCUGAUGCUGAAACCCUUCCUGAAACGGAUCUCCAUCCCUUCACUGAGCAGGGUUCACACAUAUUUAUGUUGGAGUGCAAAGGUUUCCGAUGCCCAGACGUGUGUCCUCCAAUCUGAGAAGGGAGCCAGGGAAGGGGCUGGAGUUGAUGCAUCUUGACUUAAGGGCUGAAGAGUUGGCAAUUUUGGAGGCCAGUGAAGAGCCACAUAGAAAAUGUCCCGCUGCCUGCCAUCGCCAGCAGCUCCUCUUGCUCCCAUCCUGCAGAGAGGCUCCCACACAGAUAGCAGACACAGGGACCUCUUUAAAAUGAAGAUGAAAUGCACCUGGUUCUACCACCUAGUUAGAAGCAGUUAUGAAGGUUGAAGAGCUGUUAUCUGAGAUUUAUAGCCCCAAAUCUGCGAGAUAGACUCUCCUAAUUAAUAAGACAAGGAAGACUAGAAAGUUGUGAAAACUACCUGGCAGGGUUUGGAGCCUGCUGUCACCACCACGAUGAUAGCACUGUCUUUGCUGCUGAG
rnacentral:antisense_RNA from 1 species